rnacentral:rRNA from 1 species
UGGUGGAGUGAUUUGUCUGGUUAAUUCCGUUAACGAACGAGACCUCGACCUGCUAAAUAGUUCGACGAAUUCUCUGAAUUCGGGCGUGACUUCUUAGAGGGACUAUCGGUGUGUAGCCGAUGGAAGUUCGAGGCAAUAACA